rnacentral:rRNA from 1 species
UACAGAGGUCCCAAGCGUUGUUCGGAUUCAUUGGGCGUAAAGGGUGCGUAGGUGGCGCUGUAAGUCGGGUGUGAAAUUUCGGAGCUUAACUCCGAAACUGCAUUUGAUACUGCGGUGCUUGAGGACUGGAGAGGAGACUGGAAUUCACGGUGUAGCAGUGAAAUGCGUAGAUAUCGUGAGGAAGACCAGUGGCGAAGGCGGGUCUCUGGACAGUUCCUGACACUGAGGCACGAAGGCCAGGGGAGCAAACGGG